CACUGUUGUCACGGAGAGUCUACUGCACUAAUAUUAGUGUUAGUGCAGUUGUUGUGGUCUCGCUGACAAAUCAGAACUGAAAAAUAAAUGAUAUUAACUGCGUGUUGACAAGUGCAUGCUGAUGUUAUUGUCUGUUACUUGUUAUUAUGUGAGACAGGUGAUUGUGGGUUAUGUCAACUUCACACUGAAGGGAAUGAAGAACCAAGGUUUUAUGCUGCUUGUAUGGAUACAAAAUGUCUGUUGCUGUCCAGUGAAAGAAGUAACAUGAGGAAGAGGAGGCGUCGCUGGCAUUCAACACGAAUUGGAUCAUGUUGUAGUGCUCUGCAGGAAUGGAUGGUGGCAUGUCCAUUCACUGAACUGACGCAAAUUAGAAUGAUUAGAACUUUUUUACGACCA